AGGGUGGGGGAUCGGAGAUCUUUUGCGUGGCUGGGGUUGAAGCGGCGCUGAGAGAGGGGGGCGUUUGUUUUUUUUAUGUUUAUUUUUUUUAUUUUCGUUUUUGAAAAAUGAAGAUGUGGCUGCCAAUUUAGGGUUUUACUUUUGACCCUUGCAUGAUGUACGAAACGGCGCCGUUUGGAGUCUGAUCAGUGGCUCCAAAACGGUGUCGUAUUGGCCCUGUAACCCGUGCGUGUGACCCGACCCGGGGAGGAUCCGCG
rnacentral:lncRNA from 1 species